GAUGCGACUGAGCAAAUUUCUGACACUGAACAAGGAACUUUAGUAGAAUGAGGAACACGGUACAAUAAUCCCUUAAAGCAUUGAGUAGCUCUCUGCUUUCCUGUAGUGCUUUGGCAUAGACCCCUCACUAGCCCUCCCUUGCCUAACAGAAGAAGGAAAAUUCCCACUCCAGAACUCAGCUCACCACAAAACUCCCCAUUCCUCCUGCCUCUUGUCGUCCCUGGCUGGUGAAACAAAGAGUCACUAGGAGGAGCCAAGUUUUGAGACACAGCUACUCAUUCCUAUCAAUGGCCAGCCAGGAUCAGUGAGAAGCACAAUUAUUCUGCAUGGCACAGCUAGCAAAAUCACACUCUUCAAGACACUCGGAGGAGACUUUGAUCCUGCGGGGACACAAACUGGCUGAGAUGAUGAUGUGCUUCUAAGCCUUAGGAAUGACUAGCCACUUACAACAGUGGAACAAAACAUGCUCUUGAUCUGCCAUCAGUCAUUUUAUAUCACUGUUUGAUAGUGACUGAUUUAAUGCUUUUCUAGCAGAUUCUACUUGUUUUCUGAGCAAAAUAAAGAAAUAAGUUUAAAUGCA